CCUACGGGGGGCAGCAGUGGGGAAUAUUGGACAAUGGGGGGAACCCUGAUCCAGCCAUGCCGCGUGUGUGAAGAAGGCCCUCGGGUUGUAAAGCACUUUCAGUGAGGAAGAACGCCUGGUGGUUAAUACCCAUCAGGAAAGACAUCACUCACAGAAGAAGCACCGGCUAACUCCGUGCCAGCAGCCGCGGUAAUACGGAGGGUGCGAGCGUUAAUCGGAAUUACUGGGCGUAAAGCGCGCGUAGGUGGCUUGAUAAGCCGGUUGUGAAAGCCCCGGGCUCAACCUGGGAACGGCAUCCGGAACUGUCAAGCUAGAGUCCAGGAGAGGAAGGUAGAAUUCCCGGUGUAGCGGUGAAAUGCGUAGAGAUCGGGAGGAAUACCAGUGGCGAAGGCGGCCUUCUGGACUGACACUGACACUGAGGUGCGAAAGCGUGGGUAGCAAACAGGAUUAGAUACCCUAGUAGUC
rnacentral:rRNA from 1 species